ensembl:lncRNA
AGGCUUCUUUGCAGAAGCCCGGGGAAGUGAGGUUUCACCCAAGACCACACUGGCCGCUCUCCAACCUGGACUUGGAAUGCUGCUGUCAGCUUUUUACAUAAUAAGGACAUAAAGGUCGCAUGUGUAGUUUAUCUUUAUUACGUGCCUGGCACUUGACUCAGCAACCCUAGGAAAUCAAAUGUUAUUAUCAUUCCUAUUUCACAGAUGAGAAAACUGAGGCCGAGAGAGGUGAUGUUUCUUGCUCACAGUUGCCCAGUUGGCAUGAGAGGAUUUUAACACAGGCAGCCACACUCCAGAACCCAGAGGCUUAACCCUCCAUAUCCACAGAGUCGUAACUUCUAAAGUUAUGCCAAAUAUCCCUUUUGCUUCACUCUGUCCAUAUCUCUGUCUCCCCAAAAGUUGCCAUUAACUAAGCACCAACUAUGGGCUGUUCCCCUGGGCGCUUGCUCUAUGUUAUGCUUGAUCUUCAUUACAACUCUGCCAAACUGGAGGUGUGCUUGACCCUGUUCCACAAAAACUUGAGGAGUAAAGUCCCAUAUCGAAUAAGUAGCUAAGCAGGGAAUAAAAUCAAGUUAGCCUGAUUUCAAAGGAAACUGAUUUGCCUGGAGGCUGUGUUAUGCAGAACGUCACAAGGCGUCAUUUUGGGGUCUGAGGGUUAGUAUGCUUCUUAUAGAACGGAGUCUUCUGACCUGUAAGAAAUCUCUAAGAAAUCACGGCAGGGUUUAGAAGAGUGGGUUUGGGGCUGGGAGGCCUUCUGCCGCCUGUCUGCUUUGAGGUCUGCAUUGCCUCUGCCUGGUGGACCAAAAAGGUUGUGCUCCUCUGGUUGGGCUAGUUGUCUGAGGACAACCUCCACUAUCUUACAAUUAUGGCUUCACUGCUGUUGCUACUGUGGUAUGUUAGAGCAGCUUUCCCUUACAGAAGUCUCCAUAAAUGUUUGCUGGAUGUACCAAAUGAAGAGAGCUUAUGACAGAAGGAAACGUUUGAAGCAAGGAAAGAGAAAAAGAGGAGAAAAACACUUCAUCCAAAAUUGCAAAUCAGAGAAAUGGCCACAGACUUGUUUUGUGUCAUCCGUUUGGUGUUUGCAUCAGUCAUGAUCUUCUCUAUGACAGAUUCCACCCAAAGAAAGCCCUCUAUCUAAAGAUAAAAGAUGCAAAUACGGUAAAUCGGCAUUCUAAGUAACUGAAAGGAAGAAAAACAGAUGAGAACUUACCUGGGAAGCCAUUGUGGAAACGCUGGUUGGAAGCACCGGCGUAAGCAUCUGUCAGAGUGGCCAACAGGAAUGCUGCAUACUGAAUGGUGGUCAAAAGGUCCAAUAGGAAUCCUCCAUACUGAAAUGGUAAUCUAAAAAGUCCAAUAGGAGUGCUGCAUACUACCUGGGUCAAAUCAAACCAAUUGAAUGAUCUCUUGUAGAACUUUGUUUGAAAAUCCUUAGUGACUGAAAAGAAGGCUGCUUAUUUGAGCUCAAAUAGCUGUUGUUAUGGAGAAGGAAAUGGCAAACCCACUCCAGUAUUCUUGCCUGGAGAAUUCCGUGGACAGAGGAGCCUGGUGGGCUGCUGUCCAUGGGGUCGCACAGAGUUGGACAUGACUGAAGUGACUUAGCAUUAGCAUUUGUUGUUAAAAUGGCCUCCCUGGCUCAGUGGGAAAGAAUCUGCCUGCAGUGUGAAUGGGGCGGGGGGAGGGGGGGGCAGGUGCUUCAAUCCUUGGGUGAGGAAGAUCCCCUCUAAAAGGAAAUGGCAACCUGCUCCAAUAU